UACGGAGGGUGCAAGCGUUAAUCGGAAUUACUGGGCGUAAAGCGUGCGUAGGUGGUUCGUUAAGUCCGUUGUGAAAGCCCCGAGCUCAACUUGGGAAUUGCAGUGGAUACUGGCGAGCUAGAGUGCGGUAGAGGAAGGUGGAAUUCCCGGUGUAGCGGUGAAAUGCGUAGAGAUCGGGAGGAACACCAGUGGCGAAGGCGGCCUUCUGGGCAGUAGCUGACGCUGAUGCGCGA
rnacentral:rRNA from 1 species